rnacentral:rRNA from 1 species
AUUGAACGCUGGCGGCAGGCCUAACACAUGCAAGUCGGACGGUAGCACAGAGAGCUUGCUCUUGGGUGACGAGUGGCGGACGGGUGAGUAAUGUCUGGGGAUCUGCCCGAUAGAGGGGGAUAACCACUGGAAACGGUGGCUAAUACCGCAUAACGUCGCAAGACCAAAGAGGGGGACCUUCGGGCCUCUCACUACCGGCUGAACCCAGAUGGGAUUAGCUAGUAGGCGGGGUAAUGGCCCACCUAGGCGACGAUCCCUAGCUGGUCUGAGAGGAUGACCAGCCACACUGGAACUGAGACACGGUCCAGACUCCUACGGAAGGCAGCAGUGGGGAAUAUUGCACAAUGGCGCAAGCCUGAUGCAGCCAUGCCGCGUGUAUGAAGAAGGCCUUCGGGUUGUAAAGUACUUUCAGCGGGGAGGAAGGCGGUGAGGUUAAUAACCUUGCCGAUUGACGUUACCCGCAGAAGAAGCACCGGCUAACUCCGUGCCAGCCGCCGCAGUAA